rnacentral:rRNA from 1 species
AGCGAACGCUGGCGGCAGGCCUAACACAUGCAAGUCGAAUGGAUCCUUCGGGAUUAGUGGCGGACGGGUGAGUAACACGUGGGAACGUGCCCUUUGGUUCGGAACAACUCAGGGAAACUUGAGCUAAUACCGGAUGUGCCCUUCGGGGGAAAGAUUUAUCGCCAUUGGAGCGGCCCGCGUCUGAUUAGCUAGUUGGUGAGGUAACGGCCCACCAAGGCGACGAUCAGUAGCUGGUCUGAGAGGAUGAUCAGCCACACUGGGACUGAGACACGGCCCAGACUCCUACGGGAGGCAGCAGUGGGGAAUCUUGCGCAAUGGGCGAAAGCCUGACGCAGCCAUGCCGCGUGAAUGAUGAAGGUCUUAGGAUUGUAAAAUUCUUUCAGCGGGGACGAUAAUGACGGUACCCGCAGAAGAAGCUCCGGCUAACUUCGUG